GGGUGAGUAACACGUGAGUAACCUGCCCUUAACUCUGGGAUAAGCCUGGGAAACUGGGUCUAAUACCGGAUAGGAGCGUCCACCGCAUGGUGGGUGUUGGAAAGAUUUAUCGGUUUUGGAUGGACUCGCGGCCUAUCAGCUUGUUGGUGAGGUAAUGGCUCACCAAGGCGACGACGGGUAGCCGGCCUGAGAGGGUGACCGGCCACACUGGGACUGAGACACGGCCCAGACUCCUACGGGAGGCAGCAGUGGGGAAUAUUGCACAAUGGGCGCAAGCCUGAUGCAGCGACGCCGCGUGAGGGAUGACGGCCUUCGGGUUGUAAACCUCUUUCAGUAGGGAAGAAGCGAAAGUGACGGUACCUGCAGAAGAAGCACCGGCUAACUACGUGCCAGCAGCCGCGGUAAUACGUAGGGUGCGAGCGUUAUCCGGAAUUAUUGGGCGUAAAGAGCUCGUAGGCGGUUUGUCGCGUCUGUCGUGAAAGUCCGGGGCUUAACCUCGGAUCUGCGGUGGGUACGGGCAGACUAGAGUGCAGUAGGGGAGACUGGAAUUCCUGGUGUAGCGGUGGAAUGCGCAGAUAUCAGGAGGAACACCGAUGGCGAAGGCAGGUCUCUGGGCUGUAACUGACGCUGAGGAGCGAAAGCAUGGGGAGCGAACAGGAUUAGAUACCCUGGUAGUCCAUGCCGUAAACGUUGGGCACUAGGUGUGGGGACCAUUCCACGGUUUCCGCGCCGCAGCUAACGCAUUAAGUGCCCCGCCUGGGGAGUACGGCCGCAAGGCUAAAACUCAAAGGAAUUGACGGGGGCCCGCACAAGCGGCGGAGCAUGCGGAUUAAUUCGAUGCAACGCGAAGAACCUUACCAAGGCUUGACAUGUUCUCGAUCGCCGUAGAGAUACGGUUUCCCCUUUGGGGCGGGUUCACAGGUGGUGCAUGGUUGUCGUCAGCUCGUGUCGUGAGAUGUUGGGUUAAGUCCCGCAACGAGCGCAACCCUCGUUCCAUGUUGCCAGCACGUAAUGGUGGGGACUCAUGGGAGACUGCCGGGGUCAACUCGGAGGAAGGUGAGGACGACGUCAAAUCAUCAUGCCCCUUAUGUCUUGGGCUUCACGCAUGCUACAAUGGCCGGUACAAUGGGUUGCGAUACUGUGAGGUGGAGCUAAUCCCAAAAAGCCGGUCUCAGUUCGGAUUGGGGUUUGCAACUCGACCCCAUGAAGUUGGAGUCGCUAGUAAUCGCAGAUCAGCAAUCGCGCCGAAUG
rnacentral:rRNA from 1 species